rnacentral:rRNA from 1 species
UGGGGAAUAUUGGACAAUGGGCGCAAGCCUGAUCCAGCAAUGCCGCGUGUGUGAAGAAGGCCUUCGGGUUGUAAAGCACUUUUAUCAGGAGCGAAACGCUGUCGGCUAAUACCCGGCGGAACUGACGGUACCUGAGGAAUAAGCACCGGCUAACUUCGUGCCAGCAGCCGCGGUAAUACGAAGGGUGCAAGCGUUAAUCGGAAUUACUGGGCGUAAAGCGUGCGUAGGCGGUUUCUUAAGUCUGCUGUGAAAUCCCCGGGCUCAACCUGGGAAUGGCAGUGGAUACUGGGAGGCUAGAGUGUGUCAGAGGGUGGUGGAAUUCCCGGUGUAGCGGUGAAAUGCGUAGAGAUCGGGAGGAACAUCAGUGGCGAAGGCGGCCACCUGGGACAACACUGACGCUGAGGCACGAAAGCGUGGGGAGCAAACAGGAUUAGGAUAUCCUGGUAGUCCGCGCCCUAAACGAUGCGAACUGGAUGUUGGUCUCAACUCGGAGAUCAGUGUCGAAGCUAACGCGUUAAGUCCGCCGCCUGGGGAGUACGGUCGCAAGACUGAAACUCAAAUGAAUUGACGGGGUCAUAGCUGUUUCCU